rnacentral:rRNA from 1 species
AUUGAACGCUGGGGGCAUGCUUAACACAUGCAAGUCGAGCGGAGAUGAGGUGCUUGCACCUUAUCUUAGCGGCGGACGGGUGAGUAAUGCUUAGGAAUCUGCCUAUUAGUGGGGGACAACAUUCCGAAAGGAAUGCUAAUACCGCAUACGUCCUACGGGAGAAAGCAGGGGACCUUCGGGCCUUGCGCUAAUAGAUGAGCCUAAGUCGGAUUAGCUAGUUGGUGGGGUAAAGGCCUAUCAAGGCGACGAUCUGUAGCGGGUCUGAGAGGAUGAGCCGCCACACUGGGACUGAGACACGGCCCAGACUCCUACGGGAGGCAGCAGUGGGGAAUAUUGGACAAUGGGCGGAAGCCUGAUCCAGCCAUGCCGCGUGUGUGAAGAAGGCCUUUUGGUUGUAAAGCACUUUAAGCGAGGAGGAGGCUACUAGUACUAAUACUACUGGAUAGUGGACGUUACUCGCAGAAUAAGCACCGGCUAACUCUGUGCCAGCCGCCGCGGUAAAAC